UCUCCGUUGGUGAACCAGCGGAGGGAUCAUUACAGGACUCGCAAGACUCCUUCACCCUGUGAACCUCACUACAAGCACGUUGCUUCGGCGGGUGUCCCGGCGGGGGUUUUCCCUCGCCGGGGCGCACAGCCCGCCGGCAGCCUACUAUACUCUGUCUCUUUGCGUUGGCAUCUCGAGAAAAAACAAACAAGUUAAAACUUUCAACAACGGAUCUCUUGGUUCUGGCAUCGACGAAGAACGCAGC
rnacentral:misc_RNA from 1 species